ensembl:lncRNA novel transcript
GCAUAAUUACAGGCUGCAGACAGGCUGGACAAUAAAAUAUCUCGGCUCGAUAUUUUUGGAAGCCUUUUGUGAUGGUGCCUGGAAUAAAUAACAACCGCUUUCUAUGUCCUCAGCCAUCUAACUGCAGCCACCGUUAUUUCAGAACACCCCCACCCCACCUCGGAGGGGCAGAAGUGGGGGACUUCAGCGGAAGGGUGCGGUCGCCUGAAGAGGUCUCCUGAGCCUCGGGUGCGUGUGGGCUUGGAGGACUGGAAUAAGAAGAAAAUAUGUUCCAAGCCCUGAGGGCCCUCUUCCUCAUUAGAGGCACACAAGUGGGGCCCUCUAGGCCCCACACCCUCUGGGCGCGUGCCCUCCCUGACUCCCUACGCCAAGACUAAAAAAUUUGAAGACUCAGACCACAUGUUCCUACCUCACAAUCUCUCUAAAAAGAGCCUCUCUAUACUGAACCGGCUCCUGUCACCUGAGAAAUCUGCUGGAAAAGAAAGCUGGAUAUUGAAGCAGCAAGACCCAGAGGAAGAAGCUGCUGUCCUCUUUGGAGCUCGAUGGGGUGGCCCUGGGCCUGGCCCCCACCCAGGCCUGACAGAGGCAGGAGGGUAUGGCGGGGGCCUAGGGCUUUGCCCCAGACCUUGGACCCCGCAGCGUCUGCCAGGAGACGUCGGAGGAAACGCUUUUACCACCUGGGCGACCUUGACUGCAGCCGAUUAAAGUUUAAUCCGAGGUGUGUGCUCA